GUUAACCAAAAAAAAAAAAAACCUUGGUAAGAGACUAUCUUAUCUUAAAUUCUCUCUAUUUGUAUUUCAAGAACUUCAAAAUAUCAAGUCAGGUGUUGCAUGCUGCAUCUAAUGUCAUAAACAAUAACUAAAAACCAAAUGUAAAGCUCAAAUUGGGAAAAAUAAUUUUAUCAACACAUUUAAAUUAUUUGCCCCUACUCUUUACAGAGAAGUAACAAGUAACUCCAAUUCAUAAAGUUACCCGCAGCAGUAUAAGGAAGAAUAGCUUCAUCUGCUCCUUUUGACAAAAGGAUUAUCUUUCUAUUCUGGCAAUCCCUGACCACAACUGACAUCCUUUUC
rnacentral:misc_RNA from 1 species